CUUUUUUAGUCUUUGAAAGGUGGACAUCAGUAGCACUGAGUAGAGGAAACAGGCUUACUCUUGUGCAGUUUGAGGAUCGUGUAGGACAUGGUGGGCAGCACUCGUUCUCCCUCCAAGAUGUAGAUGUCCCAGAUCCUGAGGGUCAGGGUAAAGGGAGUCUUGACACAAACGGAACAAAAGGUGUUGUUUCAGUUUGGGCAUCAUCUUCUUGAGGAUGCGGUCGUGGUGAUCCUGGAAACGUAUCAGCUUUGGGAACCCGGGGAUAAAGAACCCUAAAGCAACAACUGCAUCUCAAGAGAUCCAUCUGUU